UACGUAGGUGGCAAGCGUUAUCCGGAUUUAUUGGGCGUAAAGGGAACGCAGGCGGUCUUUUAAGUCUGAUGUGAAAGCCUUCGGCUUAACCGGAGUAGUGCAUUAGAAACUGAGAGACUUGAGUGCAGAAGAGGAGAGUGGAACUCCAUGUGUAGCGGUGAAAUGCGUAGAUAUAUGGAAGAACACCAGUGGCGAAAGCGGCUCUCUGGUCUGUAACUGACGCUGAGGUUCGAAAGCGUGGGUAGCAAACAGG
rnacentral:rRNA from 1 species